AUGAAGAAUGUGAGUGAGAUUGGCUGUUUACCUUAUUUAAUUUUUAAAGAAAAGGAUAGAUAAUAAACUGACUCGCAGUUAGAAUUUUCUGCAGAAACGCCGGACAAAUACAGUAGCAUGUGCAAGUAUCUAGAAGAAAACAAGGAGCUAAGAAACAGCCAACACAGAUUUGUCAAGAACAAAUCAUGUCUAACCAGUUUAAUUUCUGCCUUUGAAAAUAAGGAAAGCUUUCUUAACAGAUAAAAACAGCAGAUGCUGCACAUUCUGCUUUUAGUACAAAGUUGUAUUGUUUCACCUGACACUUUUUUGGCAAGGAAACGUGGUUAGCUCUAUGUGCUGAAGGCUCAGUGCAAUUUUAGUUGGAAAACCAUUCUCAGAAUUCAGUUGUUUAAAUUCAGUGAAUAUGAGCUGUGUGUGGCACUCAUCAAUACUUUGUAUUAAUGAUUAGAUAAUGAAAUAAGAGUACACUUAUUAAUCGUCAUUUAAUUUAGAGGUAACAUUGGGCUGGAAGAGAAUGAGAAUGUGUGGACAGGCUUGGCACAGUCUUGACAAGUUGGCAAAUAUGACUCAACAAGGACAAGUGCAGGGCAUUGCCUCUCAGCAGGAACCAUCAUAUUUUCAAACACAGAAUGAAAAGUGACUGAGUUAGCAACAUUUUUGUAAAAAAGGACUCAGAAAUUAUUAUGAUCCACAGGUUGGAUGAGUCAACAGUGCUGUUCAGGUGAGUAAAAUUAGAAGAGACCAAGGUGAAACCACCUUUCCCUUCAUCAUUCAGUGCUGCAAGGUUUCCAUGGGAGUGUUGAGUUUUAGAUACCAUGCAUGGAGAAAGAAUAAUUUGUAGAGAAUCAAAUAAGUAGGAACAUGAUCAACGAUCCAGAAUAAAUUCUCUAGAAGUCAGAUAAAAAUCUUUUUACCUAAGCAAGAGGAAUUAAUCUUCUUAACACCUAAAAAAGUUGCAAAAUCCAAAGACAAUCUGUCCUCUCAUAUAGAUAAGAAAUACAUCAGAAAACACGGAGUUUAACUUUCAAAAAGGGAGCUUUGAUUACGGGUUAAGGUUUUUCCAUAGGGAUAAGGAAGUUCUGUGCAGGAACGCGGUGGAGCACAGGUUGCAUGUCGUAGUUGUGAAGAACAGGUUGGGAGAACGCUGUUCAGGAACGACACGUAUCGUUGAUCCUGCAUCACUUGCAAGGAUGGAAGAUGCCCUCAUCAGGUUUCUUCACAUCCUCCAGACUGUGACUUCGACACCUAGUAAGAAAAUCUUAACCAAAGGCUCAAACUGACCUUUCAAGCCUCAAUGUGGGGAUGUAGACCAGAACUUGAGCAGCUGGGAGACGCCUGUAAAACGAGACUAGACUUCAGAACACAAACAAUGGGAAUGGAAACUUGCUUAAGCUGUUAUUAUGAACGUUGCUAUUUUCUGCACUUUAUUCAUCUCCCUAAUAAUUCUGAGUGUUUGCUGUCUCUGCAGAUGAACAGAUAAAUAAGCGCUAGUUUCAGUGGGAAGCAACAGGAUUUCAUUGUGUAUGUCUGCCUAUAUUUCUCUCAAGGACUGGAAGAUUUUUCAGCUUACAACGCAAGGAAAUUGUGAAUACACUGGAAUAGUUUACCAAAAUGACAUAUUCAUAGCACUGCAAGCUGGGAUUUUCACUGAUUUUAUGACACGACUUCUUCUGCUGACUUAGUCUUAUUGGCACAAAACUGUUCACAUACACAAAUCUGCAGCAUGAGGGCAGCUCUCUUUCUUUCCCUGAUGUAUGUAUAGAUCUUUGCAUUAUAAACAUAGAUACACAAUCCUCCUUGCCUCCAGCUGAGCUCUUAAAUCCAAUGGCAUUUCGAGUUUUAAAGGUUAGUUAAGCACUUUGCAAGCAAAUGUUCUGUUACUAAUUUAAAAUUUGCUUUUCAUUAGUGGAUAUAAUCAGACAUAAAGUACAUAACUUUGGGGUGGUUUUUUUUUUCUUUGUUUGGGGGUUUUGGGGAUUUUUUGUUUUGUUUUCUUCAGGUUUUUCUUCCACUUUGAAGAUAGUUGUGGGCAUCCUUUCCCGCUCCCAUCCUGCUGCAUCCACCGCAUGGUUCUGAGCAAUGUCUCAGCCACCGGGUCAUAUCAGAAGGGAAGAACAGUCCGCCCCGUCUGCAAGGAGACCUAGAAAAGAUUAAUUCAGUGCUGUGAAAUCAAAACGUGUUGAGAGACUGUUCCCAGGCAAACAGCUGCUGCGUUAGAUUUUCAUCAUCGAGGGGCUGAUGAGAUUUACUUUAGGCUGCUUUUUUUUCCAUUGGCACCGAGCCCCCAUGAUAAGAGUUCUUGUCUUUCUGCUGGUUAUAUUUUAACCUACCUGUUAGUUUUCUUAUUUGAGAAGUUAAACGGAGCAGGCUUGGGGGGGAAGGUCUGAAUUAACUCCGCAGUUCUACUUCAAAGACACUUCUACUGUUGAACGCCCAAUCCACUGGUGGCUAUAGCUCUUUAAUGCUUGUAAUUACCUUAUGUAAUGUAGGGAAAUUAAUUAACAGAUGUCCUGGGUACUUUACCGACUUAAAGUGGACUCUUUUUUGCAGAUUCAUGAAUGCAUGGGGGAACUCAGCGCUUUUCAGAGCUGGGAGCGGCGACUGUAUUAGCUGGCACUGUGAAGCUAUUUUUAGACCUUCAGCUAUUUAGGGACUUCAGUGCAACUUGCAGUGCUGAGCACCCCUUUGCAGAACAUCCCUCUGCAGCAAAACCAUCCUGGGUUCCACCGUGCAAACAUCUGGAGAUUGCCCUGUGGGGAGCAAACUGGGGAACGACUCUUAACUCUGCCACAGCUUUUGGGCAGGAAAACCCCUUUAGUCCAGGCCCAGCUCCUGGGCUGGGCUUUGCGAAGGGUGGGCUGGUGAGAGCUAACCGAUCUGUGGGUGCACCCCUUCUUCCAUCGCUUUUUCCCAGAGAAAAGUGGGUUAUUUACACAGGCUUGCUUGCCUCCCUCCCUCCCCCUGUGCCAACCCAUCGCACGUGGGCUGUCGCAACCAUCUCACAAGGAGGAGAGAGCAAGAGGACAACUUGUUGUCGGAAUACCCUGAGGCAACACCAGCAGCCUUGUGCAACUGCUGCCUAGCUCUAAUUUUUUCCAUGAGCUACCAAGACUUGUCUGUAGCUUUUUCUUUUUCUUUUUUUUUCCUUUUUUCUAUUUUUUUUGGGUAGCUAUUUUAUAACAAAGGUCACGUGAGUCCAAAAAAAAAACCCGCCAACAAUAAAAUAUGUAGUUUCCCAGUAUGUAGUUUCCCAGUAGUGAUGACUUCUGGCAAUGAGUUUCAUAUGUCCUAAUCUGAAACAAAGGCAGCACAGGAAGAGACAGUGACUCAGUCUCUGAGUCUCAGAAAGUAAACACUGUCUAACCAGUCUUAUCUGGUUUUUAGGAGCUCGAAUGAGGCAUUUUGCUGGGCCUGGAUUUCUUCUGCGUAGGGGUACGUGUUAGGGAAGGACGCAGUUUAUGAACUUGGAAAAUGGGUUGCCAAAUGCUCUUUAGAUGAGGAUUUGAGAGGUACCUAUGUGUGUCCCCUCAAGGGAACAGGCAUAUGUUAGGCAAUGUCAGUGCUUUGUUUUCUCCUAAACAUGUUCGCCAGCACUUUUUUUGAGCACUUUGGGGAAGAGGGGGAAUGGGAUUUUUAUCAGGGAGGAAACUUAGGGUGCUGCUCAGUCACUGUCCAAGUCAGUGCAAGUCAUCUGCUGGGGCAAGCCACCUUUUCUUCACAGCAGUCCUGUUUCUUCUGAGCCUCAGACCGGGAACUGCUGGAGAGAGUCCAGAUCAGCCAUGAAGAUGCUGAAGGGAGUGGAGCAUCUCCCGUGUGAGGAAAGGCUGAGGGAGCUGGGGCUCUGGAGCUGGACAAGAGGACACUGAGGGGGGACUCAUUCAUGGGGAUCAAGAUGGAAAGGGGGAGUGUCAGGAGGAUGGAGCCAGGCUCUUCUGGUGACAACCAGUGACAGGACAAGGGGCAAUGGGUGCAAACUGGAACACAGGAGGUUCCACUUAAAUUUGAGAAGAAACUUGUUCCCAGUGAGGGUGGCAGAGCCUGGCCCAGGCUGCCCAGGGAGGUUGUGGAGUCUCCUUCUGUGCAGACAUUCCAACCCGCCUGGACACCUUCCUGUGUAACCUCAUCUGGGUGUUCCUGCUCCAUGGGGGGAUUGCACUGGAUGAGCUUUCCAGGUCCCUUCCAAUCCCUCAAAUUCUGUGAUGCUGUGAUACAACCCCCCCAGCCAUCCAACAGUUCUCCUUCCACAUGCAGCAGAGACAGGCGAUGCUGUUCCCACCCAUAUCAUGGUCUCUUCCUCACCGAAGGAUCUCAGACAUCUGGUUCAUCCAAGCAGUUGUGGCCCUGCACCGAACAAGAGGAUGCUUCACACCUGCAGCUCUCUUGAAGGCAACUCUCAUUGCCUUGCCAUGUCAGUGUGAUCUCCCUUCUCCUCCCUCCUGCAAACACAACCCAGAGUACAGAAAUGUGUCCUCAGCAGGUGAGCCGCUAUCUGCACUUCAUGUAUCUGGAGGUCUGUGGAGCUGAGAGAACUGAAGACAUAUUCCAGCUUCUAACUAUUGCUUCCUCUGGGGUGUUGAUCUCUUCUCCCAAGUAGCCAGUGAUAGGAUGAGAAGAAAAGGCCUCAAGUUGCACCUGAGGAGGUUCAGAUAUUACGAAAAAUUUCUUCAUGGAAAAGGUUGUCAUGUAUUGGGACAGGCUGCCCAGGGCAGUGGUAGAGUCACCAUCCCUGGAGGCGUUUAAAAGAUGUGUAGAUAUAGAACUUAGGCACAUAGUUUACUAGUGGACUUGGCAGUGUUGGGUUAAUGGUUGGACUCGACGAUCCUAAGGGUCCUUUCCAGCCUAAGUGAUUCUGUGAUGCUAUGAUCUGCUGCUGGUAGAGGGCCAACUGUGGCAAAACAAGUGCUGGUUUUGGUCCUCUUUGAAGAUCCUUGGAAGCCCAUGGGAAAACUGAUGCACCUUCUUUGCCUGCCCAGCUCUUCUGUCCUUUCCUCCUCCUCCUUCAUGGGUCCUUCAAACCUUCCUGGCAAAACAGGUGGAGUAAGAGCAAAUGACACCCCUUCCAGCACUGAAACAAUGACCCCGAAAGAAUGUGGCUGCACGUACACAAACUAGUGCUGUGAUUAUAUUUUAAUAACACACUGACGUGACCUUUGAAUGAGUUGUCCUUCCAGUCAUCCCAGGAAGACAUUGGCAGUGUUUGUUACAGCACUGCUCAGCGUGUGUUGGAAAACACCGCAGCGUUAACUCCCUUUCACAGAUGGAGAAAUCAAGGAACUUUUAUCACUGUUAAAGUGGAAAUGCAGAGCCAGGAGCUGCAGGCAGCUUUAUCUGCCCCAGAAAUUCAGGCCAGCAUUCUUCAGGCAUCAGCAUUUCCAUAGCAGCUAAGCACUUAGCACCUGCACUUGUGGAUUUUCAACCAUUCUUAAGGCAGUAUCUUCCCAGAUUAAGGAACUGAGCUACUAACAAACAUCUUGUUAAAUUCUAUGUAAGUUAUUUAAGUCUAAAAGUAACUUGCAUGAUCAGUGUUCCCUUAUCAUGUUCAGGGAAAUGCUUAGAGGUAUUCCAGAAAUGAGAACACCAGAAAUACUAUCUACUUAGACAGCAAUCCGAAGUGAAUAAAUGCAGCUCACUUGUCAACCUAAGAUGUCCUUUGUUGUUCUAUUUUGCCGCUUAGUGCCAGCAGCCCGUGCCAAGUGCCGAUUUGCAUCACCGCUAUGGUGACUGGGCCUGGAUGCUGAUUUUGUGGUGAUGUAUAGCGAUUAUAACCUUAUAACUGUGGCGCUUAUCAGUGAGGCGAGAAUGAAGAGAAGGGGGCAGGACAUACAUAUUUUUUAUUUCAUUUAUUUAUUUAUUUUUUAUUAUUUCCAUUUAAUUGAUUUAUUAUCUUUGUUAUUAUUAUUAUUUAUUUUAUCAUUUUAUCACAUUUUAUUUUUGUUAUUUUAUAAUUUUCUCUAAUUUAUUUUAUUUUUAUUACCUUAUUUUAUUUUUAUUAUUUUCAUUUCAUCGUUCUAUUUUAUUAUUUUCAUUCCUUUUUAUAUUUUAUUUUAUCUAUUUUUUUAUUAUUUUUCAAUAUUUUUGGCGCAUUUUAUUUUUUAUCAGCCUGUUUUAUUUUUUACUAUCUUACAAUCUUCUUUUGCUUGUUUAUUUAAAUUUUUGUUUAUUUUUAUCAUCUUGCUUUAUCUCUUAUUUAUUUUAUAAUUUUCUUUUAUG